CUUUGGUUUGGUUCCGUUGAACUCCCACUAUCUCACAGUCUGUCUGGAGCCGAGGAGGAGGAGCCGGUUUGGCUGGAGAACAGUUCACACUCCUGGCCUCACUUCAAAGGCUGGUGCGGCUGUAGUCACUGAGGGCAAUGG